rnacentral:lncRNA from 1 species
UUGUGCCCUUCAGAUCAAUGCUUAGGUUGGUCGAGCCACACUCAGACCUGAACAGUUAUUUAUUGGAUAUGCUUAGUGUAGUUAUGUUAAUGGUUGGAUCUAAUAAGGAUUUUAAAUAGAUGCACCACACGCCUGCUGAAGAGAUGCCUGGGGUAAAAUCUAAUUGCUAGAACUUGUUUAGAGAAAUAAUUGAUUAUGAACCUACUUAUGGAUAUACUAGAGUUGGUCGAGCUAC